rnacentral:lncRNA from 1 species
ACUAAAUCUUAAUCAAACUCAAAUCAAAUCCUAACCAAAUCUUAACUAAAUCCUAAUCAACCCUAAAUAAAUCUUAAUCAAAUCCUAAACAAAUUCUAACCAAAUGCUAAUCAAACCUUAAUCAAAUCUUAACCAAAUCUUAACUAAAUCCUAAUCAAGUCCUAAUCAAAUUCUAAUCAAAUCUUAAUCAAAUCCUAAUAAAUUCUAAUUAAAUUUUAAUCAAGUUCUAAACUAAUCCUUAUCAAAUCCUAGUCAAAUUCUAACCAAAUUCUAACAAAAUCCUAACCAAAUCCUAAUCAAAUCUUAAACAAAAUCUAACCAAAUUUUAAUCAAAUCCUCAUCAAAUCCUAAACUAAUACUAAUCAAAUCCUAACCAAAUCUUAACCAAACCCUAACCAAAUCAUAAUCAAAUCCUAGUCAAACCAUAAACAAAUCCUAACCAAAACCUAAUCAAAUCCUAACCAAAUUCUAAUCAAAUCCUAAUCAAAUCUUAAUCAAAUCCUAUCCAAAUUCUAAUUAAAUCUUAAUCAACUCUAAAUAAAUCUUAGUCAAACUUUAAAUAAAUCUUAACCAAAUCCUAGUCAAAUCCUAAAAAAUCCUAACCAAACUCUAAAUAAACCUAAAUAAACUUUAACUAAAUUCUAAUCAAAUCCUAAACAUAUCCUAACUACACCCUAAAUAAUCCAAAUAAUUC